UCGGAUUUCAACUAACUGAAGAUUAACCAAGGUCUUACGGGUGUGAAACGGCAUGAGGAGACGACCCUCGUGGAAAUGUUUGUCUGCUGGGAUCUGGAAUGUUCUCUGGGCUCUCUGCUUCACACACCAGGGGGCAUCUCUCAUAAGACACCUUAUCCUUAUUCCCUGUCCACGGCUUCUACAAAGCAGAAAUCUCAUCAAGAAUUUUACCCAACUACGACGACUUCAGCUUCUGAGAAACGCGGAAAUGUGAAAAAAGAGCAACAUCAUCCCAGGAGGUAAAUUGGCAGAAAUCCUGUAAUCCACUGGAGGGGGAUGGCGGGUCCACAAUUACAGCGGGGACUGCCUUGGGAACCGAAAGUUGGCGAAGGCCUCGUCGGGACCAUUGGGCUGUCAGCACCAGGAGAAAUUAACUGACAUCAAACACCGUACCUCACAAGCUUAGACAUGUCCAGCACACAAUCACACAAAGAGAGAAGAGAGAGAGACAUCAGACAGUGGAGGAGAACCAGAGAGAGAGAGACAGGCAGGAAAAGACGGAGUUUAAACAAGGGAGAGAGAGAGAGGAACAUAUAAGAGACAGACAGGAAAAGAGAUGGAGAUUAGAAAAGUGAUGGAAAGAGAAAAAAAAAAAAGGGGG